rnacentral:rRNA from 1 species
CCCCACUGCUAUCGGGAUAGGACUAAGACAUGCUAGUCGAGUGAUUCAGGCAAAACGAGUCACGGCGCACAGCUCAGUAACACGUGGCUAAUCUGCCCUUAGGACGAGAACAACCCCGGGAAACUGGGGCUAAUUCGCGAUAGGCGAAGAACUCUGGAAUGAGUCUUUACCUAAAAAGUGCAACGUUAUCCUCGUUGCACCGCCUAAGGAUGAGGCCGCGACCGAUCAGGUUGUUGGCGAGGUAAUGGCUCACCAAGCCUUUUACCGGUGCGGGCCGUGGGAGCGGGAGCCCGGAGAUGGGCACUGAGACAAGGGCCCAGGCCCUACGGGGCGCAGCAGUCGCGAAAACUUUGCAAUAAGCGAAAGCUUGACAGGGCUAUCCCGAGUGCCAUCCGCUGAGGAAGGCUUUUACCCAGUCUAGAACGCUGGGGGAAUAAGGAGAGGGCAAGUCUGGUGUCAGCCGCCGCGGUAAUACCAGCUCUUCGAGUGGUGUGGAUGUUUAUUGGGCCUAAAACAUCCGUAGCUGGCUAGGUAAGUCCCUUGUUAAAUCCACCGAAUUAAUCGUUGGAUUGCGGGGGAUACUGCUUGGCUAGGGGACGAGAGAGGCAGACGGUAUUUUCGGGGUAGGGGUGAAAUCCUAUAAUCCCGGGAAGACCACCAGUGGCGAAGGCUGUCUGCUAGAACGCGCCCGACGGUGAGGGAUGAAAGCUGGGGGAGCGAACCGGAUUAGAUACCCGGGUAGUCCCAGCUGUAAACGAUGCAGACUAGGUGUUUGGACGGCCACGUGCCGUUCUAGUGCCGCAGGGAAGCUGUUAAGUCUGCCGCCUGGGGAGUACGAUCGCAAGAUUGAAACUUAAAGGAAUUGGCGGGGGAGCACCACAAGGGGUGAAGCUUGCGGUUU